rnacentral:rRNA from 1 species
UACGUAGGGUGCGAGCGUUGUCCGGAUUUAUUGGGCGUAAAGAGCUCGUAGGCGGCUUGUCGCGUCGGAUGUGAAAGCCCGGGGCUUAACUCCGGGUCUGCAUUCGAUACGGGCAGGCUAGAGUGUGGUAGGGGAGAUCGGAAUUCCUGGUGGUAGCGGUGAAAUGCGCAGAUAUCAGGAGGAACACCGGUGGCGAAGGCGGAUCUCUGGGCCAUUACUGACGCUGAGGAGCGAAAGCGUGGGGAGCGAACAGG